rnacentral:tRNA from 4 species
CAGGGAAUAGUUUAAUUAGAAUGUCAGCUUUGGGUGCUGGUGGUGGGGUUGUUUACCUCUUCCUUGA